AAUCUGCGCUUGCAGGAGGAGUUGGACAGGGCUGACACGGAGCUGCGGGAGGAGGAAGAAAAGCAUCUUCAGUCUGAGCACUGCGUUCGUGACUUGAAGACUGCCUUGGAUGAUAAAGAAAGAGAAGCAAUAACUUCUUCCCCAAAACUGCAGGACCUCCUGUUGCCAUCUUCCGAGACUAAUACCACUCUAAAACAACUGGAAGAACACGUGCAACAGUAAGAGAGUAACCCAGUGAAGCGAGGUGUCUGUCGCUUUGGGGGAUUGGGUGGAAACAACGGGACAGUCAGUUGGAUUUUGAAGGACACUUCUGCUGUGGAUUCUGUUACUUAGCACAGUUUGUCUGGAACUGGAUUUUCUGGUAAUAAGACCCAUAUUUGUUUUUAAGCCUUGAAAUUCAAAAGACCCGAGUGGAAGCCACUGUCCAGCAACAAAGCCAUAGGAUUGAAGCCCUUCAGAGAGACCUGCAAGCCUCUGCCUCAGUUGGUGAACUUUCCCAGCAGCUGGACAUGGAGCCUAAAACAGGCAUGCAGCUAGAGGACCAAAACCAGACUUUGCAAGAAGAGCUGUCCACUCUGCGUGGGAAGUAUGAAAAACUGGAGAAGAGCAAAUGCCAGCUGCAAGAAGAAGUGACAAAAGUCCAUCAUCAUUUGGAGACUUUCGUGCUGGAUGGCAGCCAAACAGCACAAUGUAAAAGAGAGGCGGAAGAACGAGCUGACCAGGAAAUAAGU